UUAGGUAUUAUAUUGAUAGGUGUCAAAUUUUGGUGGUAUAAGGUUUUAUUAUUGACAAAAUCAAUUAUUAUUGUCAACCUUAUCAUUUACCACAACCAAGACUCUAAAAAACAGAGAGAAAAUGAAUCAAAAAUGUUUCUUGGCUGGAGUUAAGGUAUUCCAAGGAGAUCUUAGUGAAAAUCAAACUAAAGAAGUGAAUUCAACUUAGUUUUGGCCUUUUAUGGUAAAUAAAAAAAUGGGUGAAUGACAAAGGAGAACCGAAGCAUGGUCCUGACCUUGAUUUGUACAUAUGAACAUAUUGACCUUAUGUAGGUUAUUUCAAUUUGUCACUGUGUAUGUCUGUAGUAAUGUGUGGGGUUAUGUUUUCAAAACAAAUUGGAUUCUUUGACACUUAUGUGUAACAUGUUUAAGAUACACUUUAUGUUUAAUAAAUAAUGUCAAAUAUAAAAAAAAA